rnacentral:misc_RNA from 1 species
UGAAUUUCAUUUACUUUCGAAUGUAUUAACAGCAGACUACUUUAUUUUCUGUUCACGGAGAUUAACACUACAAACCAGUUACUUAGUUCGGGUGAAGUUUUACUAUAAAUAGUGAGAUGAGAUUUAUGCUUUAAACUAUUCAUCUUUUUGCAUAUAUUAAAGAUGUCAAAAUCUCAUAUGCAGUAACUUUGUUGUCAUCAUUCACAUAUUUCAUUGGCCCACAUCUCGCUCACUUACGUUUAUACAAAUAUGAGUUUUGCAUCAGUGAGUGCAGUUGUACUGCAUGAAAAUCCUAAUUUAAUGAAAAAAUGUUGUGAAGUUUUGAAUGAAGAAUGGAAAAGAAGUGAAUCAGCCAGGAUACACAGCUUAGAAAAAUCAAAUCACAGCCUACCAGUAUCCUUGGUUCUAGUUGAAAACUUAGAUCAUGAAGACCCUGAAGUAAUUGGUCACAGCAGGAUCUGUAGAGUGCUUGACGAUAACAGUGGAUGUUGGAUUGAAUCGGUUGUAAUAAAGAAAAACAGACGAAAUCAAGGAUUUGGGAAGCUGUUAAUGCUGAAGACUGAAGAGUUUGCAAGAAGACUGGGAUUCAAAACAGCUUAUCUAAAUACUAUAGAUAAACAAGACUUUUAUAAACAUUUGGGUUACAUAUUCUGUGAUCCUGUUUCAUCUAUACCAACUGGGGACUUUGGAGCACUGUCAAAUAGAAUUGGGGCACAGGCUCUGUGUGCCAGUGCAUAGUGAUGCCUGUGCUUGAAAAUUCACCAUAUGCCUUUGCUUAUUGGAGAUCCUUUACACAAACAAGUGUAAAAUAUUUUCAAAAUUAACCCAAUUAAGGAUGGAGGAAAUGUUAGCAGAUACUUUGUUGAGAAGAUGAGAGAGAAGAUUGGAUCUCCUUUAGAUGGUAGUAAUUGUAUU